UCCGAGUUGACCCCGGCAGUCUCCCAUGAGUCCCCGGCAUAACCCGCUGGCAACAUGGAACGAGGGUUGCGCUCGUUGCGGGACUUAACCCAACAUCUCACGACACGAGCUGACGACAGCCAUGCACCACCUGCACACCAACCACAAGGGAACGCCUAUCUCUAGACGCGUCUGGCGCAUGUCAAGCCCUGGUAAGGUUCUUCGCGUUGCAUCGAAUUAAGCCACAUGCUCCACCGCUUGUGCGGGCCCCCGCCAAUUCCUUUGAGUUUCAACCUUGCGGCCGUAGUCCCCAGGCGGUUCACUUAAUGCGUUAGCUGCGGCACCGAGGCUUACGCCCCAACACCUAGCACCCAACGUUUACGGCUGGGACUAC
rnacentral:misc_RNA from 1 species